CAGAGUUGCAAAACUCCUACACACCCGCGAACUUACCCGUAUUGUUGCUUCGGCGGGUUGGCCCCGGUCUCCGGGGUCCCCGGCCCUACUCGGGCGCCCGCCGGAGGUAUCUAACUCUUGAACUUUUAUGGCCUCUCUGAGUCUUUGUACUUAAUAAGUCA
rnacentral:misc_RNA from 1 species